UGCAGUCGACAGGAUCCGAACCUGUGCUGGAAGAUCCCAAUAGAUUUCUAGUCUAUCGCCUUAACCACUCGGCCAUGACUGC
rnacentral:tRNA from 1 species